rnacentral:rRNA from 1 species
AACGAACGCUGGCGGCAGGCCUAACACAUGCAAGUCGAGCGAGGGCUCCGGUUCUAGCCUCGGACGGGUGAGUAACGGGUGGGAAUGUGCCCUUCUCUACGGCCUAGCCCUGGGAAACUGGGAGCAAUACCGUAUCCGCUCUAUUAGGGGAAGAUCUAUCGGAGAAGGAUGAUCCCGCGUUGGAGUAGGUAGUUGGUGGGGUAAUGGCCUACCACGCCGGCGAUCCGUAACUGGUUUGAGAGGCGGAUCACCCACACUGGGAGUGAGAAACGACCGCGACUCUGAGAGUGAGACGCGGCCCAGACUCUUACGGGAGGGAGCAAUGGCGGAUCUUAGAAAACGGCGGCAGCCAUGAUCGAGCCAGGCUGGGAGAGUGAUGAUGGCCGGAGAGAUGUAAAGCGCUUUCAGCUGGGAAGAUAAUGACGGUACCUGCAGAAGAAGCCCCGGCUAACUCCGUG